AGUGAACGCUGGCGGUAGGCCUAACACAUGCAAGUCGAACGGCAGCACAGUAAGAGCUUGCUCUUACGGGUGGCGAGUGGCGGACGGGUGAGGAAUACAUCGGAAUCUACUUUUUCGUGGGGGAUAACGUAGGGAAACUUACGCUAAUACCGCAUACGACCUACGGGUGAAAGCAGGGGAUCUUCGGACCUUGCGCGAUUGAAUGAGCCGAUGUCGGAUUAGCUAGUUGGCGGGGUAAAGGCCCACCAAGGCGACGAUCCGUAGCUGGUCUGAGAGGAUGAUCAGCCACACUGGAACGGAGACACGGUCCAGACUCCUACGGGAGGCAGCAGUGGGGAAUAUUGGACAAUGGGCGCAAGCCUGAUCCAGCCAUACCGCGUGUGUGAAGAAGGCCUUCGGGUUGUAAAGCCCUUUUGUUGGGAAAGAAAAGCAGCAGGUUAAUACCCCGCUGUUCUGACGGUACCCAAAGAAUAAGCACCGGCUAACUUCGUG
rnacentral:rRNA from 1 species